UGCUGUCUGCGGCAGCGUCAUUGCUCUGAGACCCUGAUGUCUGAGACAGAUCAUGCGAACUAGUAAA
rnacentral:rRNA from 1 species